GCGAGCGUGGCUUUAUUGGAAACCUGGCACACCUUGCCCGUUCAGACCGGGUAGCUUUGGGAGUUCGAAUCUCCCCGCUCGUA
rnacentral:tRNA from 1 species